rnacentral:rRNA from 1 species
CCCUUAGAUGUUCUGGGCCGCACGCGCGCUACACUGAUGAAUGCAACGAGCUCUACCCUUGACCGAAAGGCCCGGGUAAACUUGUGAAACUUCAUCGUGAUGGGGAUAGAUUAUUGCAAUUAUUAAUCUUCAACGAGGAAUUCCUAGUAAGCGCGAGUCAUCAGCUCGCGUUGAUUACGUCCCUGCCCUUUGUACACACCGCCCGUCGCACCUACCGAUUGAAUGGUCCGGUGAAAUCUUCGGACUCUGUGUUUAUUGAUUUGUUUCAAUUUACUACUGGAGAAAGUUGAGUAAACCUUACCAUUUAGAGGAAGGUGAAGUCGUAACA